rnacentral:rRNA from 1 species
AGUCGAUCGCACUCUUCGGAGUGAGCGGCGGACGGGUUAGUAACGCGUGGGAACGUACCCAGAUCUAAGGAAUAGCCACUGGAAACGGUGAGUAAUACCUUAUACGCCCUUCGGGGGAAAGAUUUAUCGGAUUUGGAUCGGCCCGCGUUAGAUUAGGUAGUUGGUGGGGUAAUGGCCUACCAAGCCUACGAUCUAUAGCUGGUUUUAGAGGAUGAUCAGCAACACUGGGACUGAGACACGGCCCAGACUCCUACGGGAGGCAGCAGUGGGGAAUCUUAGACAAUGGGCGCAAGCCUGAUCUAGCCAUGCCGCGUGAGUGAUGAAGGCCUUAGGGUCGUAAAGCUCUUUCGCCUGUGAUGAUAAUGACAGUAGCAGGUAAAGAAACCCCGGCUAACUCCGUGCCAGCAGCCGCGGUAAUACGGAGGGGGUUAGCGUUGUUCGGAAUUACUGGGCGUAAAGCGCACGUAGGCGGAUUAGAAAGUUAGGGGUGAAAUCCCGGGGCUCAACCUCGGAACUGCCUCUAAAACUCCUAGUCUAGAGUUCGAGAGAGGUGAGUGGAAUUCCAAGUGUAGAGGUGAAAUUCGUAGAUAUUUGGAGGAACACCAGUGGCGAAGGCGGCUCACUGGCUCGAUACUGACGCUGAGGUGCGAAAGUGUGGGGAGCAAACAGGGUUAGAUACCCUGGUAG